UACGUAGGUGGCAAGCGUUGUCCGGAUUUACUGGGCGUAAAGGGCGCGUAGGCGGCCUAGCAAGUCAAAGGUGAAAUCCCUCGGCUCAACUGAGGAACUGCCUUUGAAACUGCGAGGCUUGAGGCCGGGAGGGGGUAGCGGAAUUCCCAGUGUAGCGGUGAAAUGCGUAGAUAUUGGGAGGAACACCAGUGGCGAAGGCGGCUACCUGGACCGGUUCUGACGCUGAUGCGCGAAAGCGUGGGUAGCAAACAGG
rnacentral:rRNA from 1 species